CUUAACCAACACACAACACACACGUUCUAUGUAUGAACAAACCUCCAUCACUGAAACUACUGACGCGAAACUGUAGCAGCGUUCGAAUCUAACCCACAACUCCAGCGAGCCUUUGGGGGAAACGGGGGGACAUGAUGGCGGGUAUCAUGGUGUGGGCUUCUCUCAGCGCUCUCCUCUCUCUGGUCGGGUGUCCCGCGUGUGUCCUCGUCCUCCGUCCUCUGUACAGAAGACUCAAAGCAGGAACCCCGUUCUCCCCCAACGACUUCUUCAUGCUCAACCUCACCGUCAUGGACUUGGUCUUCUUGCUUUUCGUCCCGUUUGGGCUGUGCAACUUCCUCCUGUGGCACGCGAGGGCCGUUCAGUUGUUGAGCAACUUCCUGUACGCCUUGAACCUGGCCGGGCGACCCCUGCUCACGGCCUGCAUCUGUCUGGACUGCUUCCUGGCCGUGGUCCAUCCCGUCACCUACCACACCAGGAAGAGUCUGACCCCGCGGUUCCUCAUGGCCGCCGUCGUGU
ensembl:lncRNA